UCAGGACCAGGACACAGUUUAUAAAGGAAGUAAUGCUUUAACUGAGUCUUAAAAGAUGCAUUGCAUUUGGUAAGCAGAAAAAUGAUGAAGCUACUGCUUGGCAGAUAAGCAGUGAGCAAAGGCCUGAGAGGUGAAUGGGAACCGGCCUUCGGGAAAUGGCGAGCAGUUUAGCAUGGCUGAGCACGAUAUCCAAGAGAUUCAGCAGAGCCAAGAUUUGGAUGGAGGGCUUUUAAUGCUACGUGAAAGAGCUUGAUUUUUUCUUAUAAGUGUAUGCACCAUACAGCACAUGACCAACCCCACGCCAAUAUCUAUUCCCAACGGGUCCUUUGCCUGCAGCAUAAGAAUGGUUCAUGCAGACUAUCUCUGCUUCCGCUGCAGGGUGAGAUCUGAUGGAGCCAUUGCAUUCUGGAGGGUCCUUGGAACCUGGGAGGGCUCCCCAAGCACCAUUUCCUGAUCUUAUUAACUACUCUGUAAAGUUACAUGCUGACCAACAUAAGAUUCAGAUGAAGAACCAAAUAGCUGUGGUUGCAACCACUGAGACCUCUCCUUUCUCCAUGUUGAGUGUGGGUAGGAAGAUAUUUCAACCAGAAAAUUUCUGAUUCUACCGCUAAGAAUGACCAGAUUCUAUCAGAGCUAGAAAGUCUUCUAAGGCCAUCUUUGCUCUCAGAUUCUUCUGUAUCAACCCUUGUGGGGGAAGAAAGACCAUAAAAUGCUCUCUGAAUCCAUAAGGACAACUCCGUUGGCACAGAUGGGAAUUUUGCUCUGAUUCCCAGAACAUGAACUAAUAACUGUAAAGGGUUUCUUUGGAAACACCAUAUUCUGUCACCGACCCAUCUUUUACCAUAGCACACACUCCUCAACCAUUCUCUCGUGAUGUUCCCAGGAAGUUAAAGACAGCUCAGAAGAAAAACUGUCGUCUUUAACAAAGAAAUGCAAUAGAUGUUUGUCGUGGGAGAAGGCCUAAUUCAAUUUGCAGUGUCUCUGGGUUUCUAUUUUGACUCAAGUUGUUUUCAGCACAUUCUCUCCAUGUUACCAAAAGUUAGAAAGUAUAUUUUAAGAAAUGCCACCAUUUUUUUAUAUUUACUGAGAACAACAUGCUCAGGGAUUUAUUUCCAUGAAAAUGUAGACUGCAGAAUUUAGAAACAUGCAAUGUAGAAGAAUCCAACAUGUUUUAGGAUACCACUAAGAUGUAGGAAAGCUUUUGCCAGACAAAUAAGAGGUCUUAAUGUUGGGAAGUAUGGGGGCGCCUGGGUGGCGCAGUCGG